ACCGACCUGCUCCGCGCAUGGUGCCUCGUUCUACGGAAGUGCUUUGUUGAUGAGUGUUUAGUGCACGUUCUCGUGUCGUUUUACACGCUGACCUCUUUCCUUGACAUUAAAAUGACACCGCGGGAUUCUUCUCAAAGGGGUUGUUCAAUGAGGCGAUGUCAUCGAAUGCAAAAUUGAUGAGUCAGUGCUCACCUGCUCCCAGUCAAGCAUGAAUCCUCAAAGGACGGAAGGCGUUUACUGAAGAGUCACCAGAUUGUGACAGGACCUGGACAUCCCUGCUGACGAUGCCUUCCCCUCUCAGGACAAGACUGAUGCAGCUCGUCAUAUGUGCUUUCCGGUUACACCAAGACUGCCACAAACUUGUGAGAUGGCUGCAGGUUGCCAGGAGAGGUCUGAGAACCGUUGUUCAAGGAGAAGUGAUUCAAUUUCAAAUCGGC
ensembl:lncRNA